rnacentral:rRNA from 1 species
UACAGAGGUCUCAAGCGUUGUUCGGAUUCAUUGGGCGUAAAGGGUGCGUAGGUGGCGCUGUAAGUCGGGUGUGAAAUUUCGGAGCUUAACUACGAAACUGCAUUCGAUACUGCGGUGCUUGAGGACUGGAGAGGAGACUGGAAUUCAUGGUGUAGCAGUGAAAUGCGUAGAGAUCAUGAGGAAGACCAGUGGCGAAGGCGGGUCUCUGGACAGUUCCUGACACUGAGGCACGAAGGCCAGGGGCGCAAACGGG